rnacentral:rRNA from 1 species
UACGUAGGGGGCAAGCGUUGUCCGGAAUCAUUGGGCGUAAAGAGCGUGUAGGCGGCCCGGUAAGUCCGCUGUGAAAUCCCCGGGCUCAACCCGGGAACUGCGUCCGAUACUGGCAGGCUUGAAUCCGGGAGAGGGAUGCGGAAUUCCAGGUGUAGCGGUGAAAUGCGUAGAUAUCUGGAGGAACACCGGUGGCGAAGGCGGCAUCCUGGACCGGCAUUGACGCUGAGGCGCGAAAGCCAGGGGAGCAAACGGG